rnacentral:rRNA from 1 species
UAAUACAUGCAAGUCGAGCGAGCGGAACCACAGAUUUACUUCGGUAAUGACGUUGGGNAAAGCGAGCGGCGGAUGGGUGAGUAACACGUGGGGAACCUGCCCCUAAGUCUGGGAUACCAUUUGGAAACAGGUGCUAAUACCGGAUAAUAAAGCAGAUCGCAUGAUCAGCUUUUGAAAGGCGGCGUAAGCUGUCGCUAAGGGAUGGCCCCGCGGUGCAUUAGCUAGUUGGUAAGGUAACGGCUUACCAAGGCGACGAUGCAUAGCCGAGUUGAGAGACUGAUCGGCCACAUUGGGACUGAGACACGGCCCAAACUCCUACGGGAGGCAGCAGUAGGGAAUCUUCCACAAUGGACGCAAGUCUGAUGGAGCAACGCCGCGUGAGUGAAGAAGGUUUUCGGAUCGUAAAGCUCUGUUGUUGGUGAAGAAGGAUAGAGGUAGUAACUGGCCUUUAUUUGACGGUAAUCAACCAGAAAAUGUCACGGCUAACUACGUGCCAGCAGCCGCGGUAAUACGUA